GUGUCCCACCCGACAUUUGUGAUGCGGACGGUUACAUCAUCAGCGACGCGUCGGCCUGAUCGACAUCCGCUUCAACUCUAACAACGGGUACUGCCGAGCGGAGGACGGCAGCCGCGGCACGUGCUGUCUGCCGCCCGAGAGCCGGCCGCCACUGGAGGACACCUGCGGCAGGAGCCUCGACAUCCGCAUACUGGGCGUCAGGCCCGACUCAACUGAGGCCAGCUUCGGCGAGCUCCCAUGGCAGGCUAUUAUAUCCUACACCAACUACACCUUCGUCUGCGGAGGGUCCCUCAUUGACAGGCGC